UCCGCGGCAGCGGCGGGGCUGGAGCGCCCGGGGACGAUUGAAAACACAGGCCUGGGCUGUGCCCGGCUGAGCGCACAGCCUUGUGCACCGCUUUUCUAUGGAGCUGGUGGUGGGUUAUGCCUCGGACUGAAGUUUGAAGAAGAAAUAACUGAAGCAGCUUUGAUACGACCACCUCAUUACUAAAUGGAAGGACUGAUGGUUCAAAACCAGGGAGGGAUGUAGCUAGAAAAAAUUACACACUGGAGUAGAAAACUGCGUGGAGAUCCAGAUGACUGCCGAGGGGACUUUGGAGGUGGCUCUUCCAGCAAACAAGGUGUUCCAUGUGUCUUUUCACAGCCUCAUCAGGUGAUAGAAACAGGAAAAACAGCUUGGAACUUUGGAAGCAGAUGAUAUACUAUCAUAACCUUUGCAGUCCCUUGGCAAAAGA